rnacentral:rRNA from 1 species
UGGGGAAUAUUGGACAAUGGGCGAAAGCCUGAUCCAGCCAUGCCGCGUGUGUGAAGAAGGCCUUUUGGUUGUAAAGCACUUUAAGCGAGGAGGAGGCUACUUGGAUUAAUACUCUAGGAUAGUGGACGUUACUCGCAGAAUAAGCACCGGCUAACUCUGUGCCAGCAGCCGCGGUAAUACAGAGGGUGCGAGCGUUAAUCGGAUUUACUGGGCGUAAAGCGUGCGUAGGCGGCUUCUUAAGUCGGAUGUGAAAUCCCUGAGCUUAACUUAGGAAUUGCAUUCGAUACUGGGAAGCUAGAGUAUGGGAGAGGAUGGUAGAAUUCCAGGUGUAGCGGUGAAAUGCGUAGAGAUCUGGAGGAAUACCGAUGGCGAAGGCAGCCAUCUGGCCUAAUACUGACGCUGAGGUACGAAAGCAUGGGGAGCAUACAGG